UACGUAGGGGGCAAGCGUUGUCCGGAAUCAUUGGGCGUAAAGAGCGUGUAGGCGGACUUAAAGGUCUGGUGUGAAAGCCCGGGGCUCAACCCCGGAGGGUCACUGGAAACCAUAAGUCUUGAAUCUGGAAGAGGAGAGUGGAAUUCCUGGUGUAGCGGUGGAAUGCGCAGAUAUCAGGAGGAACACCAAUGGCGAAGGCAGCUCUCUGGUACAUGAUUGACGCUGGGACGCGAAAGCGUGGGGAGCGAUCCGG
rnacentral:rRNA from 1 species